UACGUAGGAGGCGAGCGUUGUCCGGAUUUAUUGGGCGUAAAGAGCGUGUAGGCGGCUUGGCAAGUCCGCUGUGAAAACUCGAGGCUUAACCUCGAGACGUCGGUGGAAACUGCUUGGCUAGAGUCCGGAAGAGGAGAGUGGAAUUCCUGGUGUAGCGGUGAAAUGCGCAGAUAUCAGGAAGAACACCCGUGGCUAAGGCGGCUCUCUAGUACGGUACUGACGCUGAGACGCGAAAGCGUGGGGAGCGAACAGG
rnacentral:rRNA from 1 species